UUUCCAAAUUUAUUCAUCAGGGGAGCUAGUGCUCUUUGGAUUUAGGUUUAAAUCUGCUUAUUAAUGUUCAAAAAUAUUUACUGUAAUGAACUGGAUUUUCAGUACCAAAAAAAAAAAAAAAUAGAACAUUGGCUUUUAAUAUUAAACUGAUGUUAUUUGCAAAGGUAAAAUAUUAUCCUUUAAAGAUCUUAUCCCGUGAUCUAUAAAGAAAGGUAUUUAAAGGUCAAAAACACCUCUUAUGACCUUCACUCGUAGACGAACAAUAGAAGUAUUCCCUAAUUUGUAUAGAGGAAGCGAAAAGCGAGCAAAAAUUGUAACGGAAGCCAGGCACAAACCGAUCACGCUUCUGCCACUCUUCAAGUUAGAUGAGGCGAUAGGUCACGCACAUCUUACCCGAGGACUUUCUAUCUUGUUACUGUUUCGAAUAAGUUACUUAGUUUUCAUUCGUCUCAAUUUCCAAAAGCGAAUAUCCGUGUAUGGUAGAAGGGAGUGGGCUUCUAAAAUCCAAUAAGUCGGGAGAUCAAUCAGGAGCGAUUAGAGAAGAUAAGCAAAAGGAUACAGUUCAUCGAAAAGAAAUCCGCUCCGAUUUAUAUUAAUGGAUCCUCCCCAUUGUGGUUAUUGAACUCCAGUUUAUACGCAUUUAGACCGUUGAACUUGAAAAAUAACUCUUAUCGGGUGCACGUCUUUUCUGAUAAAUUUGUCAAACUCGCUUUAAUUGCUACAGCUGAAUAGGGUAAGUUCACUUUCUCCCCCUAUCUACUACUGAUCAUUUAAUGAGCUUGUCAGUUCCUCUCUUGUAAACAGUUGCAUUCUGUAAGCAUGAACAAGAUAUUUGGAUUGGAAGAAGUUUUAAGAUUUGUUUUCUGCUUGUCAAGAUCAGAAUUUGGUGGGAUUUCCUCUAGAGUAAGCGAGAGGAAAAUUCGAAUAGAGAAUUGGGAGGGCGGUUCACAAGUAAAACAGAGAAUGGGAGGGUGGAAAACGAUAAAGAAAGCGAAGGGAAAGAUUCAAGAGGCGGAAAAAAAAGAGAAAAAGAGAGGGAUAAAAACAGAUAAGUAACUGACUAUUAUAUUUUUCGAAAGCUCAAAUACUGUAUACAUACUCGAAAAAGCUUUAACGCAAUCCUUAUGAUCCGUAUAUUCGGUUUCGUUAGAAGAAAAUGAGAUCGGGGAUCAAACGAUCGUACGAUCUUAUGUGAGCAUUCAGUGAAGCAAACUGAAGAAAAAUCCCAAAGAAAAGAACUUGCCAGAUGAAAGUUUAAGAUUUAUCCGAACGGAGAUUAGUACAAAGUCCAACUCGAAGUUCUGCUAUUUAUCUUUUUUUUUUUUUUUUCUUCUGCUAGAAAGUUCAACGUUCGUUCGAGGAUUAGUCUCUUCUGUUUUCUUCUAAAAUUCCAUCUCGAAACUUAUAAUGAGGACAAAGGUCAUUGGCGAUAAUAUUCGAACGAAGUGAAUAGCUGUUUGUUGGUUCAAUUUAUCGAAUUCGAAUCAUACACGGUAAUAGCUUUAAUUAGUGGAAGGAGAAAUCAAUUCUUAAAUGGAUCAUUAUAAAUAAUUAAAUUAAUUUGAUGAGUCAGGAAUGUACAGCUAAUUUCGAAUUAGAAAGUGUUCUACUUGCAUUCAAAUGGUGACUUUUCACUCUACAUUCCAAAAUAAUAGCUAAUAAUCAGAUUGAAUCCAGAAUAAGAAAGCCAAAUAAACUUGGCAUAAAUCGAUUCUAAAGAACAAAACGUAAGACAAACAAAAUAGGAAAAAAAGUGAUUUAGAUAAUCAAAUUGUCUUAUCUCUAGGUCAAAAUAUAUUCUUAUUUGUAUUAAAUUAAAGAAGAAAAAAAAAAAAGAAAUAAAAACAGGCGUCAACACAUUCCAACCCUUCCCCUUAGGUCAAACCGGAAAUAGUUUACUCUCAUUAGGUCAACGAAUCAUACUUCUCCCAUAACAUGCUAAACCUUAAUGAAGCCCCAUAAUAACGGACGCCACAUCUUGUCUCACCUUCCUCCUUAGCCAUAUUGUCGUCUGAGAUUCUUCCACCUAUUCAUACGCAUUGGGAGAUAAAUCAUUAGCUCUAUCCUUCCGCAAUAAUGGAGAAGGAGAAGCGAAGGAAAAAUCGAGAAAUCUCAUUAAAUAUCUCUCUCGAGGCCCUUCUUUGCUGGAUUAACAAAGAAAUGAGAAAUGGCAAGACAUCUUGAUUUUUUCCCCCCACUCUCCUCCUUUUUCUUUUCCCUUCAGCCAUGUUGAUGGAGGAGAAAGAGGAGGGAAAUUUCUAACAGUAUUUUUCUUUCUUGUUUGAACAUUUUGUAAAAUUUUCUUUCACAGGAAGAAAUUUAUUCUAGUAUAUUUAACUUAAUUAGAUCACGAAUAGAAUUUUUUUUUUUUUUUUAUUACUAGGUGGGAGGAAGAAGCAAAAUAUCACUGGACUCCGCCCGAUUUCUUGUACGCGCAGUAAAUUUUAAUGCUUGGCUUAUCGUUUGCCUCCCUUUGUUUAGGAAAGAAUAUUCCGGCAAUAAAGACAACAUUUUAGAUCCUGCCACUUGGGUCUUGUCAGGGCAGUUUUUUUUCUCUAACCGUUAUUUCAUUUAUUUUGUAACAAAACCCUAAAAUAUCUCGAGAGGCUGUACUUUGUCGGCCUCCUUUACUAGCGCCCCUUCAUUUAACAAGGCCUCAGAAUUUCUUUAUCAUCAGGUAUAAAGCUGUACGAUUACGCAUUGCAAGUAGUAUGUGUUUGGAGGUGCUUUUAAUAAUGGAGUAACUGCUGCCUUCUAUUAAUCUUCCUUACCAUUUUCUAGAAAGAAAGAUAGUGAUAUUUGUCUUUAAUAGUAAAUUAGCUGAUGGAGUAAGGUAGGUUUAAUGGAAGUUUUUAAAUAAAAAAGAUGCGUUUAUAGUGAUCGCCUCACUUUGUUUAUCAACCAUCAGUUUUCUUUCUUUCACUUCUUAGAACAUUUUACCUUUAGUAGCAUAAAGAGGAUUAAGAUAAAUGAUGAUCUCAUUUCUUAUGAAACCCCGUUCGAUAACCUAUAGUGUCUUAUGAUGGCACUUUAUCUUCAAUUAUCUCCUUAUUCUUUUCUGGUUGCUUUUAACCAUAACUACCAG
rnacentral:lncRNA from 1 species